rnacentral:rRNA from 1 species
AUACGUAGGGAGCAAGCGUUGUCCGGAAUUACUGGGUGUAAAGGGAGAGUAGGCGGGUUUUCAAGUCCGUUGUGAAAUCUAUCGGCUUAACCGAUAGCUGCGGCGGAAACUGGAGAUCUUGAGUGAAGUAGAGGCAGGCGGAAUUCCUAGUGUAGCGGUGAAAUGCGUAGAUAUUAGGAGGAACACCAGUGGCGAAGGCGGCCUGCUGGGCUUUAACUGACGCUGAGGCUCGAAAGUGUGGGGAGC